GCCCCAGUGGCUCAUUGGUCUAAGUGCGUGCGCCAUAACCGCGGCGACGCGGGUUCGAUUCCAGCUUGGGUCA